CACGGUUGAAAGCUUUAGCGUCUGAGGAUGGGUCUGCGGCCGAUUAGGUAGUUGCUGGGGUAACGUCCCAACAAGCCUAUAAUCGGUACGGGUUGUGAGAGCAAGAGCCCGGAGAUGGAUUCUGAGACACGAAUCCAGGUCCUACGGGGCGCAGCAGGCGCGAAAACUUUACACUGCGCGAAAGCGCGAUAAGGGGACCUCGAGUGCGUGCGCAAUGCGUACGCUUUUCAGAUGCCUAAAAAGCAUCUGGAAUAAGGGCCGGGCAAGACCGGUGCCAGCCGCCGCGGUAACACCGGCGGCUCAAGUGGUGGCCGCUAUUAUUGGGCUUAAAGGGUCCGUAGCCGGACCAGUUAGUCCCUUGGGAAAUCUUACGGCUUAACCGUAAGGCUGCCAAUGGAUACUGCUGGUCUUGGGACCGGGAGAGGCAAGAGGUACCUCAGGGGUAGGAGUGAAAUCCUGUAAUCCUUGAGGGACCGCCAGUGGCGAAGGCGUCUUGCUAGAACGGGUCCGACGGUGAGGGACGAAAGCUAGGGGCACGAACCGGAUUAGAUACCCGGGUAGUCCUAGCCAUAAACGAUGCGAGCUAGGUGUCACGUGGAUUGCGAAUCCAUGUGGUGCCGAAGGGAAACCGUGAAGCUCGCCGCCUGGGAAGUACGGCCGCAAGGCUGAAACUUAAAGGAAUUGGCGGGGGAGCAC
rnacentral:rRNA from 1 species